CCAAUAAGAAAUCUCUUUUCUCUCUGCCCAAUCAGAAACUGUCUCUUUUUUUUUCUCUCUCUCUCUUUCUCUUUUUCUCCUUCUUCUCUCCUCGCACAUCACUCUCUCUUCUUUGCAACAACGAGGACCACCUUCAAAAUUUCACAGAUCGACCUUUAAACCAUCACCAUUGUGUUCCUCUCAAACCCACGAACCCAUCCGUACGAAUCGAUCAAGAAAUGGACAAGUUUUGAGUGUCCAACUUAGAGCAACUCGAAACUCCGACUUGGGUGUGGAUUCUCCAACAUUUUCCCGUGCGAGUUACAAGGUUUUGGGAGUUUUGGAAGUACCUACACAACUCCCCAUGGCCACUAACCUAAGUUGGGAGAAGAGCCAACGUCAAAACACACAGUUUCAAGGAGUAUAAACUAGGUCCGAGACUUUCGAGCCUUUUCAAUCAAUUUUCGGUCCAUUUUUGGACUUCCAAAAGAAAUCAAUGAAAAUUCCCCAAAUUCCUGCGAACCAAACGGCGGCGGAGGUCCACUGGAGGAGAAGACAAAAUAUUUCGUUAAAGCUAAAGGAAUAUUCUAACACCGUAAAGGUAACUGACGCCAUUACUGUUUAGAGGAAUAUUUCGUGAAGUAUGACAAAAUAUUCCCCUAGAGUUAUUGUCAGUUUGUCAGGUGCGUGGGCGUGCGUGUGGCCCGACCUGGCAGCACGUGGCGGCGCAUUCGGCCUCCGACCGGCAUGUGUUUGACGUGUACAAGUAUGUGACGUCGUGUAGAAUAUUUUCGUAUAUUUAAACCCGCCGUUUGAGCAAACUAUGGGGGAUUUUCCUAGCCUUUUUGUGUAGGUCCUAAUUAAUUAAUUAGUAAAGUUAUUUCACAUAAAGGUAAGACUUACUCCGAGGAGGUACGAGGACAAAAAAGGCUAGGAGGCUACAAUUCAUCGACGUAUCAGUCCUAGUUAGCUAAUUACUCUGUGGCAUACAAGGAAUAUCCGACGGUUAUGACAUAUCCAUAAAUAAGUGUAGGGGGCUUUUCCCAGUUAUGUAUUAAGUACUUUAACUAGUUUUGACUGCACACUUUUAUGUCAUCUAUGCUCUGAACACUUGUGUUUUAUGGGUUCUUCCCACUACUGCGCACUCUCUACUUUAGUUUAAAUAAGUGUUAGAUUUGGUUUAAAUUUAUCCAUAAUUUUAUGCAUCACUUUCCUUUUGGUUACGUCACUUUCAGGUGACGGCCAGCAUGCCUUAACUCUGGUCGGGGUGUGUCAGAUGAUGUUAGGGAGAGACCAACUAUGGAUAUGUGUCAUCAAUUGUGGCGUUUCAAUUUUAUAAUGUUAUGUUAUGUGCUAAAAUUUUU